rnacentral:misc_RNA from 1 species
UGGACCCAAAUACACCUCCAAGCAACCGAAUUUACAAAACUAUCCUACAAACGCUACAGCCUAUGGUAUGCCUCUCUGUCACAAUCACUUCCUUGCCUUCCUAGCUGAAGCCCUCUUCGCCGGCGACUUUACGCUCUUCGGUUUCACGCUUUUAGCAGGCGUCUUCUUUGCAACAGGAGCCUUUUUCGGCGCCGCCUUGGAAGCCGCAGGCUUCUUCCCUGGAUUAGUCCUUGUCGAUGUUCUGGCCGCCUUAGCCGGUCUCUCCUUAGCUUU